rnacentral:rRNA from 3 species
GCUUAUACUCGACCGUCAGCGGCACGUGCGAUCGAGCCCGCGAGGGCCGGUCACGAAGCCCUGACGAGUAGGAGGGUCGCGGCGGUGAGCGCAGAAGGGCUGGCCGCGAGGCCGUCUGGAGCCGCCGUCGGUGCAGAUCUUGGUGGUAGUAGCAAAUACUCCAGCGAGGCCCUGGAGGACUGACGUGGAGAAGGGUUUCGUGUGAACAGCCGUUGCACACGAGUCAGUCGAUCCUAAGCCCUAGGCGAAAGCCGAUGUCGAUGCGGUGUAGUUUUACUAACUAUAUUAUUAUAUAAUAGUAUGUGGCACACACCCGUCGGGCGAAAGGGAAUCCGGUUCCUAUUCCGGAACCUGGCAGCGGAACCGUCAAUAAGUCGGGC